rnacentral:rRNA from 1 species
GAUGAACGCUAGCGGCAGGCCUAAUACAUGCAAGUCGAACGGUGGCAGCAAUGACACAGUGGCGCACGGGUGCGUAACGCAUAGGCAAUCUGCCUACUCCUGGGGGAUAGCCCGCCGAAAGGUGGAUUAAUACCGCAUAAGACUACAGGGCGGCAUCGUCUAGUAGUUAAAGAAUUUCGGGAGUAGAUGAGCCUGCGUGCCAUUAGCUAGUUGGUGCGGUAACGGCGCACCAAGGCGACGAUGGCUAGGGGAGCUGAGAGGCCGAUCCCCCACACUGGCACUGAGAUACGGGCCAGACUCCUACGGGAGGCAGCAGUAGGGAAUAUUGGGCAAUGGGCGCGAGCCUGACCCAGCCAUGCCGCGUGACGGAUGAAGGCCUUCUGGGUUGUAAACGUCUUUUGAUCGGGAAGAAAAAGCCCUUGCGAGGGAAAUCGACGGUACCGAUUGAAUAAGCACCGGCUAACUCCGUGCCAGCCGCCGCGGUAACAC